rnacentral:rRNA from 1 species
UACGAAGGGGGCUAGCGUUGCUCGGAAUCACUGGGCGUAAAGGGUGCGUAGGCGGGUCUUUAAGUCAGGGGUGAAAUCCUGGAGCUCAACUCCAGAACUGCCUUUGAUACUGAAGAUCUUGAGUUCGGGAGAGGUGAGUGGAACUGCGAGUGUAGAGGUGAAAUUCGUAGAUAUUCGCAAGAACACCGGUGGCGAAGGCGGCAUCCUGGACCGACACUGACACUGAGGAGCGAAAGCCAGGGGAGCAAACGGG